rnacentral:snoRNA from 1 species
GAGUCAGCCAAUGAAUCUGCUUCCCUGAAAGUGUUUCUGCAGAAAUUUUUAAAAAGCUGGUAAUAGUAAAGUCAUGUUAUGAGCCUUAAGGACAGUGAAGUUGUUAAGGUCCCUGAAAAUGGCUAUAACA